GGCAGUUGUCGGGCCCGGGAUGAGCGCUGGCAUGUAUUAUCUGAGCGGAGCUGAUGUCUCUCACCGCUUUAGCUCCAGAAUUACUCUGAGGCCCGGCAAGCCCCCGUUCCCUCUGGCUGUGGGGCUUUUCCCACUUGUGAGGUGAAGUUCUCAUGCCAGACUUUGACCCAGCUUGAGCCGAGGUGUCCCGUCCCGAUUGGCGUCUGCCCCAUUGCCAGGUGUCUGGUUGAGCCUGGGACAUUCUGACCAGCCCAGAUGUAUGAUCCAGCAUUUUGGAGAGUCCCCAUGUCUGGGGGUCCCAGUGGUGUGUGUCAGGUGAGGUUUGGGGUGUGUCAGGUGCUGGUGAGGUCCUGGGACUCUAGGGCUUUGGAUGCAUUGUCGAACCUGCCUCACUUGGGAAGGUGUUGCUGGGUGUGUGCUCAUGGACAUGCAGCUCACUGUGGCUGUCUUGGGCUCCUGUCAGCACCCCAGGCAUUUAUUUGUGGGGACGUGAAGGAAGGGGGCCAGGGCCUUUUGUGUUUCUGAUGUCUAGGUUUUACUUUUCAUGCUCUAUUUUCUACAGGAAUUGAGCGUUCCUUUGUUUUUAUUAAAACUUUUUUGUUUCA